GAACAUCAUCGAGACUGGAGAUGAAGAAGAGAACAGGAAGGUUUACAUCAUGAACAGCGAAUUCAAGGAGACCAUCUUGCGUGCGCACUCGGCCCAACAGUUCAUGGUCGCUGCUGGAUGGUGUCAGGUUGAUGACAUGAUGGUCUUCACCAGAACCUGUGAUGUCCUGCUGCAGCCGACAGUAGAGGCGCUGGAAGAGAGUUUGAAUGCCCUGAAGGAAGAAAGCGUUACAGAAAAAGACACGCCUCUAUUCUCCCACACGCC